rnacentral:rRNA from 1 species
CAGCCGCCACGGUAAUACGAAGGGGGCUAGCGUUGUUCGGAAUUACUGGGCGUAAAGCGCACGCAGGCGGCUCGAUAAAUUAGAAGUGAAAGCCUUGGGCUUAACCUGAGAAUUGCUUUUAAGACUGUCGAGCUAGAAUCCAGAAGAGGGUAGUGGAAUUCCGAGUGUAGAGGUGAAAUUCGUAGAUAUUCGGAAGAACACCAGUGGCGAAGGCGACUACCUGGUCUGGCAUUGACGCUCAUGUGCGAAAGCGUGGGGAGCAAACAGGAUUAGAUACCCCUGUAGUCCCUGUCUCUUAUAC